rnacentral:rRNA from 1 species
GGCUUAGAGUUUGAUCAUGGCUCAGGACGAACGCUGGCGGCGCGCCUAACACAUGCAAGUCGAACGGGGUUGAGAGGAGCUUGCUUUUCUUGACUUAGUGGCGAACGGGUGAGUAACGCGUGAGGAACCUGCCUCAAAGAGGGGGACAACAGUUGGAAACGACUGCUAGUACCGCAUAAGCCCACGGUCCCGCAUGGGAGAGAGGGAAAAGGAGCAAUCCGCUUUGAGAUGGCCUCGCGUCCGAUUAGCUAGUUGGUGAGGUAACGGCCCACCAAGGCGACGAUCGGUAGCCGGACUGAGAGGUUGAACGGCCACAUUGGGACUGAGACACGGCCCAGACUCCUACGGGAGGCAGCAGUGGGGAAUAUUGCACAAUGGGGGAAACCCUGAUGCAGCGACGCCGCGUGGAGGAAGAAGGUCUUCGGAUUGUAAACUCCUGUUGUUGGGGAAAAAGAGGAUGGUACCCAACAAGGAAGUGACGGCUAACUACGUGCCAGCAGCCGCGGUAAAACGUAGGUCACGAGCGUUGUCCGGAAUUACUGGGUGUAAAGGGAGCGCAGGCGGGUAUGCAAGUUGGGAGUGAAAUACAUGGGCUCAACCCAUGAACUGCUCUCAAAACUGUGUAUCUUGAGUAGUGCAGAGGUAGGCG